rnacentral:piRNA from 1 species
GGGGGACUACAAACAUUGUCUAGUAUAGC